rnacentral:misc_RNA from 1 species
AAGUCGUAACAAGGUUUCCGUAGGUGAACCUGCGGAAGGAUCAUUACAAAAUAUAUGUGUGCGGUAUUUGGGGUGUGUGAUAUUGUGCGGUUUUUUGUACUUUUGCAAUUCAUCGUAUAGCACACCGCUUCAAUUACUGCACUAGGCCCACUCCUGAAAGGGAGAUGGUGGCAUGCUUCGGUGUGCAAAUAAACAUUAAAUCAUGACUUUUACAAACAAAGUAAAUAACCAAAACUUUUAACAAUGGAUCUCUUGGCUCUU